rnacentral:tRNA from 1 species
UCCUGAAUGGCUAAGUGGGUAAAGAAUCCACCUGCAAUGAGGGAGACCUGGGUUCGAUCCCUGGGUUGGGAA